AGAGUUUGAUCCUGGCUCAGGAUAAACGCUGGCGGCGCACAUAAGACAUGCAAGUCGAACGAACCAAAUAUGUAGCUUGCUAUAUAAGAGGUUAGUGGCGGACUGGUGAGUAACACGUAAGGAACCUGGCUAUUAGAGAGGAAUACCUUUGAGAAAUCAGAGCUAAUACCUCAUAUGCCUUAGUCAUUGCAUGAUGAUAGAGGGAAAGGAGAAAUCCGCUAAUAGAUGGCCUUGCGUCUGAUUAACUAGUUGGUGAGAUAACAGCCCACCAAGGUAACGAUCAGUAGCCGGACUGAGAGGUUGAACGGCCACAUUGGGACUGAGAUACGGCCCAGACUCCUACGGGAGGCAGCAGUCGGGAAUAUUGCGCAAUGGAGGAAACUCUGACGCAGUGACGCCGCGUAUAGGAAGAAGGUUUUCGGAUUGUAAACUAUUGUCGAUAGGGAAGAAGAAAAGACGGUACCUAUCAAGAAAGCUCCGGCUAACUACGUGCCAGCAGCCGCGGUAAUACGUAGGGAGCAAGCGUUAUCCGGAAUUAUUGGGUGUAAAGGGUGCGUAGACGGGAAGACAAGUUAGUUGUGAAAUACCAUAGCUCAACUGUGGAACUGCAACUAAAACUAUCAUUCUUGAGUGCAGGAGAGGAAAGUGGAACUCCUAGUGUAGCGGUGAAAUGCGUAGAUAUUAGGAAGAAUACCGGUGGCGAAGGCGACUUUCUGGACUGUAACUGACGUUGAGGCACGAAAGUGUGGGGAGCAAACAGGAUUAGAUACCCUGGUAGUCCACACUGUAAACGAUGGAUA
rnacentral:rRNA from 1 species